rnacentral:misc_RNA from 1 species
ACUUUGUUCCGAGUAUGGAGGUUUGUGAAAGAUGGGGACACCCGAUGUGCACGGAAUUCGAUGAACACUGACGUCAGACUGUUGUAACAGGCAAUAAGUCAUCAUCAUGAAAGUGACAUCAGCGUUUGUCUUGCUGCUAAGUUUUCUGAACUCUUUUCAUUGCACCACCAUGCCACAACAUACUGAUGUGGUUCUCUUUGGAGCUCUGGGAGAUUUGUCCAGGAAAUAUCUGUGGCAGAGUUUUUUUCAGCUGUACUUGAAAGAACAAACUGAGAACAAAACAUUCUCUUUUUAUGGCAUUUCAAGGGAUGCUCAAAAAGAGGGUUCACAGAAGUUAACCAAACUUCUAGAUGAUGUAAACUGUGAAGGAGAUAUAAGCUCAGUUUGUGGAUUGAAAUUGUUUGAAUUUAGACAACUUGUUACUUAUGUCCAACUUAAAACAGAUGAACAGUUUGAUAGCUUUGGUGAACAUAAAUUAAAAAACAUUCCAGAAAACUCAGACUUUGUUUUAGGAAGAAUAUUUUAUCUAGCCAUUCCACCAAAUGUUUACUCAUCUGUUGCUGCUAGACUUUCAUCUUGUUGUAAGCUCAAAAUAAGGCAUGCAUGGUCGAGGCUGGUUCUGGAGAAGCCAUUUGGCAGUGAUCUGCAGUCUGCCCUCUCUAUGGCCAGAGACAUUGGGAAACAUUUCAAGGAGGAAGAAAUAUACAGAGUGGAUCACUAUUUGGCAAAAUCAGUGGUCCGACAAAUUCUUCCGUUUAGGAACCGAAACUUCAACCAUUUGGAAACAAUUUUGAAUAAUGAACAUGUGGAAAGAAUUGAAAUAGCAAUGAAGGAAACAGCUGACAGCAAAGGUUGGUCAGAAAUACUGACAUUGAACUUUGUAGUUGAAGAUAUCUUUGUUGAUUUUGGAGUAUAUUGUAAGUAGUUGAUAUUUGUUUAUAGAGAAUGUUGCUUUGUGCUCUUUUUCAGGUAGAAUAGAAUUCUAUGACAAAUAUGGUGUGAUCCGAGAUGUCAUGCAAAAUCAUAUGACAGAGUUACUGGCCUUGGUGGCUAUGGAACUCCCAAAUAAUCACCAUAGUGACUUUGACAGCAAUAAAAACAAAUUAUUAUCGCAAGUUAAAGAAGUGAAAGAAGAACAUGUAUUAACUGGACAGUAUUCAAGAUAUUUACACCACGCAGAACAAGAAAAGGCAAAUAUAUCCCUCUCUGUGUAUACACCAACAUUUGCAGCAUCAUUAUUAAACAUUGAUUCUCCUCGUUGGAAUGGUGUUCCAAUAAUCAUGAUCUCAGGAAAAGCUUUGGAUGAAAGGUCCAGUUAUAUUAGGAUUAAAUUCAAAGAUUCCGUAAUGUGUGUGUGUGGAUGCAAAUCAUUUAAUGUCUCUCAACAUGGUGCUAGACAAAUUAUUUUCCAAAUAAAUCCUGGAAGCUUGCCGACUGUUGGUAUACUUGUGUCCAAAAAUCUCUUUUCUCCUCAUUUACCCGAGGGUCUGGAAGAUAUGGUGGUCACCUCUCAGGAAUCUUUUGUAUUUGGACAAAGCCUAAAUGAGUUUUACUUUUCAAUUCCAAAAACAAAUGAAAAUGCCUAUGUAACAGUGGUAAGGGACCUGUACAGAGGAGACAAGAAGAGUUUUGUGACAACAGAGGGCCUGGAACAUUUAUGGCAUAUAUGGAGUUCAGUGAUAGAAGAAACCAAACAUAGACACCCAAAGCUGUAUCUAGAAAAGAAUGACAUUUCUCUUAAUUUUGGAUAUAGUAAUGGUAUUUUAAGGUAUGUAGAACAGGAGAGUAGUUUAGUUGCAGAUGAAUUUUCAGAGAGAGAAAGGCUCUCAGUAUCCUCUCUUCCAUCUCACUUUCUUGGCCAUGUGUUGCUUGUUAAACCAGAUGUGCAGUUGUACAAAUCUCUAGCAGAGAAAAUUAAUGAUGUGGCAAAGACUACUGUGGCCAAAGCUGGGAUUUUCCAUCUUGCUCUGUCAGGUGGGUCCAGUUCUAUUCAGCUCUACAGAGCAAUACUCAAACAUUUCCCCAAAUUUCCAUGGAGAUGGACUCACAUUUGGCAAGUUGAUGAACGGUGUGCGCAAUACCAUGACCAACUGUCAAAUUUCAAAACAAUUGAUGAAGAGUUGUUACAGAAUGUUAGAAUUCCAUAUGGUAACAUUCAUCCUAUGGUAGACUAUAGUGUUGCAAAUGUGUGCUCUACUGGAAGUGUUGAACGUUAUAAGGCAGCUCUUGUGCAUUUUGUAUCCAAGCUGGAACUUGACUUUAUCAUUUUGGGAAUGGGACAGGAUGGACACACUGCAUCACUUUUUCCCAAAUCAGGGUUGCUGAAAGACAAUGAAAACUUGGUUGCCAUGACAACAAACGAAUCUAGCGUGAAAAGAAUGACACUUUUAUUUUCUAUAUUGAACAAAGCUAGACACACCGCUGUCAUAGUGAGUGGUCAUAAAAAGCAUGAUAUAGUGGACUCUCUUGCUGGAAGUGAAAAGAAAAAUGUAAAUAAUUAUCCUAUUUUGGGGGUCAAUUCUCAAUCCGGAAAUGUCACAUUUUACAUUGAUAAUGAUGCAUGGUUUGGAAAAUAAAUGAAAUUGAUUUAAAAUG